rnacentral:rRNA from 1 species
AGUGAACGCUGGCGGUAGGCCUAACACAUGCAAGUCGAACGGCAGCACAGUAAGAGCUUGCUCUUACGGGUGGCGAGUGGCGGACGGGUGAGGAAUACAUCGGAAUCUACUUUUUCGUGGGGGAUAACGUAGGGAAACUUACGCUAAUACCGCAUACGACCUACGGGUGAAAGCAGGGGAUCUUCGGACCUUUCGCGAUUGAAUGAGCCGAUGUCGGAUUAGCUAGUUGGCGGGGUAAAGGCGCACCAAGGCGACGAUCCGUAGCUGGUCUGAGAGGAAGAUCAGCCACACUGGAACUGAGACACGGUACAGACUCCUGCGGGAGGCAGCAGUGGGGAAUAUUAGACGAUGGGCGCGAGCCUGAUACAGCCAUACCGCGUGAGUGAAGAAGGCCUUCGGGUUCUAGAGCCCUUUUGUUGGGAAAGAAGAGCAGCAGGUUAAUACCCCGCUGUUCUGACGGUACCCAAAGAAUAAGCACCGGCUAACUUCGUG